rnacentral:rRNA from 1 species
GUGUCAGCCGCCGCGGUAAUACAGAGGGUGCAAGUGUUGUUCGGAAUCAUUGGGCGUAAAGGGCGCGUAGGCGGUCCGGUAAGUCAGAUGUGAAAUCCCUGGGCUUAACUCAGGAACUGCAUUUGAUACUGCCAGACUAGAGUUCGGUAGAGGGCAGUGGAAUUCCCGGUGUAGAGGUGAAAUUCGUAGAGAUCGGGAGGAACACCAGUGGCGAGAGCGGCUGCCUGGGCCGACACUGACGCUGAGGCGCGAGAGCGUGGGGAGCAAACAGGAUUAGAUACCCGUGUAGUCC